rnacentral:rRNA from 1 species
AUUGAACGCUGGCGGCAGGCCUAACACAUGCAAGUCGAACGAGUGGCGGACGGGUGAGUAAUGUCUGGGAAACUGCCUGAUGGAGGGGGAUAACUACUGGAAACGGUAGCUAAUACCGCAUACCAUCAGAUGUGCCCAGAUGGGAUUAGCUUGUUGGUGGGGUAACGGCUCACCAAGGCGACGAGCCCUAGCUGGUAUGAGAGGAUGACAAGCCACACUGGAGCUGAGACACGUUCCAUACGCAUACGGUAGGCAGCAGUGGGGAAUAUUGCACAAUGGGCGAAAGCCUGAUGCAGCCAUGCCGCGUGUAGGAAGAAGGCCUUCGGGUUGGAAAGUACUUUCAGCGGGGAGGCGUUACCCGCAGAAGAAGCACCGGCUAACUCCGUGCCAGCCGCCGCGAUAAUUC